ACCCGCCGUCUCCUCCGCCGCUGUCGGCGCCCCGGGGACGCCGUUGAGGUAGAGGAUGGAGAGCAGAGACCAGGUAAUUUUCCAAUAUCCCCUUCUCGGCAGCUGUGGGAUGCAACAGUUUCGCAAAGAACGAGUAACAGCGUGUGUCUGAAGGUAUGCUUCUGAGGUCCUUCAAAGAUAAUGGUGGCACUAAUGACAUGGCAGGGUGUUACCAGUAAUUGUGUUAUCCCCAGGAACAACUGAACUGGUCUGAAAGUCAGACUCCUGGCCAAAUAACUGUAUUCUACAGAGCUGGAGUCAGUGAGCAAAAAGAAGCAGACGGGAGUGAAACCAGUGGUAAGAGGUAAGCUCUACCCGGGGUCACCCAGACAAGACAGACAGCAGUCACAAGGGUUGCUACGGCAGUAUCCUUUUGUGCCCGCAAGGAUGAGAAUCAUGUCACUGGCAUCUUUCAUGAGAAAGAAGUACAGAAACACUAGUGUUGCACUAGUGUUGCCUUGCGGAAAUGAAGUACUCAAAUACAGAGUUUGAAAAAUCAAGUAGGAUGCCUUCUUGGUAAAUAAGCGUCUGUGAAACUUCCCUCUCUAGAUUGACAAUGGGAGCAGAAAAGGGCUUUUAUGCACUUUUCUUGCAGAACUGGGAGGACAGUAUCAUCCUCAACACAAGCAUUGUUUCAGCAAUUCAGAGUCUUGGAGCUGAGGACUAUUUUUGUUUUUAGUCCAUGCAACUCAGUGUGGUAUACAAAAUCCCAACAAACUCCACAAGAUUAACUGUGGAGUUAUAUUUAUAUAAAUAUAUGUAUGUAUAUAUGCUCAUAGUAAGCAAGCCCUUGAAAACGUUAAGAAUAAAGAACAGCAGGAGCAGGAAUCAACCUGUAGUACAAGACAAUUUUUGUUUCCAUACCUGUCAGUACACCUUUUUUAUUAUGCUAUCAUUAUCACGCUUGUGUAUGCAAACUCAGCACAUUUCCUGAAAUACAAUGUUCUGUCAUACAUUCACAUUAGAAACUAAGAAGAGAUUCAAGUUAAUGCAACCUAGCACAGUUCUCACUAUAAAAGCGUAUCUUCCAUAAAGAUUAGAAAAAUUUAGAUGGAAACUAAGGUGAUUCUGAGCAUCAUGACAAUGACAUGGAAAAGGGAAAAAUGAAAGGAGAGGAUAGAGGAAGACAAGAAAGAGAAGGAAAGAUAGGAAAAAGAACAGCAGAAAAGAGAAGCCUACCUGUUUUCAAGAUGGCUUUCUGUGCUGUAAUAUAAAACAUUGCACCCGCAA